UACGAAGGGGGGCGAGCGUUGUUCGGAUUUACUGGGCGUAAAGGGCUCGUAGGCGGCCAACUAAGUCGGAUGUGAAAUCCCCAGGCUCAACUUGGGAACUGCAUCCGAUACUGGAUGGCUUGAAUUCGGGAGAGGGAUGCAGAAUUCCAGGUGUAGCGGUGAAAUGCGUAGAUAUCUGGAGGAAUACCGGUGGCGAAGGCGGCAUCCUGGACCGACAUUGACGCUGAGGAGCGAAAGCUAGGGGAGCAAACGGG
rnacentral:rRNA from 1 species